rnacentral:rRNA from 1 species
UAAUACGUAGGGUGCGAGCGUUAAUCGGAAUUACUGGGCGUAAAGCGUGCGCAGGCGGUUUUGUAAGCCAGAUGUGAAAUCCCCGGGCUUAACCUGGGAAUGGCAUUUGGGACUGCAAGGCUGGAGUAUGGCAGAGGGGACUGGAAUUCCUGGUGUAGCAGUGAAAUGCGUAGAUAUCAGGAGGAAUACCGAUGGCGAAGGCAGGUCCCUGGGCUGAUACUGACGCUCAUGCACGAAAGCGUGGGGAGCAAACAGGAUUAGAUACCCUGGUAGUCCACGCCCUAAACUAUGUCAACUGGUUGUUGGGGGUUUGACACUCUCAGUAACGAAGCUAACGCGUGAAGUUGACCGCCUGGGGAGUACGGCCGCAAGGUUAAAACUUAAAUGAAUUGACGG